GUCAAGUUUGUGGACGAGUGUGGUAUCGAUGAGGGAGGGCCAUCGAGGGAAUUCCUCCGGCUGCUUAUGAUAGACAUAGCUAACCUACCGAUUUUUUGCGGACCGGAGAAUUCAAAAAUGCUCGACCUUAACUACCCAGUAAUCAGCUUUGACCCCUGCGUAGAUUCGCUUUGCAAGAUCGGACAUACGAACUUGUUGGACAGAUGAUUGCAUACUCUAUUGUGCACGGUGGACCACUACCCAAUUUCCUCCAUCCACUUCUGUAUGAUGCCAUGGUCCAUGGCAUAGACAGCGUUCAGCCAACAACAGACCACAUUAUGGACCACGAAUACAGGGAUCAAGUGGUGAAGGUAAGGGUGCACAACCGAUCAGUGAAUAGACAACCUAACUAAAAGCUAAUCACACGUAUUUUACUAUUAGUUCAGUAAGUUUAUUUCGUCUGGUAUACACGGGAAUACAAGUACAUUAAUAAUCUGCUGUCUGUUAUCUCGUUAAAAAUAUGCUCAGUGAACUAAGCGCUAUUCCAAAACAUUCCAAGAAUAUUGUAAAGUGUACAUUUCAAGAUUCAUUCAUUUCAUUAUUAGUUUAACAAUGGAAUUUAGUUACGUUGAUUGAAAUGAUCAGUAUUUGAUAUAAAGCACUAUCGUGUAGU